rnacentral:ncRNA from 1 species
CGUUCUCAGGGCGGGGUGCAAUUCCCGACCGGCGGUAAAAGCCCGCGAGCGCCAUCCGGUGGAUGGGUCAGCAGAUCCGGUGGAAUUCCGGGGCCGACGGUAUAGUCCGGAUGGUAGAGAACG